UGGAAACUNUCUGACUUGAGUGCAGAAGGGGAGAGUGGAAUUCCAUGUGUAGCGGUGAAAUGCGUAGAUAUAUGGAGGANCACCAGUGGCGAAAGCGGCUCUCUGGUCUGUCACUGACGCUGAGGCUCGAAAGCGUGGGUAGCGAACAGGAUUAGAUACCCUGGUAGUNCACGCCGUAAACGAUGAGUGCUAGGUGUUAGGCCCUUUCCGGGGCUUAGUGCCGGAGCUAACGCAAUAAGCACUCCGCCUGGGGAGUACGACCGCAAGGUUGAAACUCAAAGGAAUUGACGGGGGCCCGCACAAGCGGUGGAGCAUGUGGUUUAAUUCGAAGCAACGCGAAGAACCUUACCAGGUCUUGACAACCCGAUGCUAUUCUUAGAGAUAGGAAGUUACUUCGGUACAUCGGAGACAGGUGGUGCAUGGUUGUCGUCAGCUCGUGUCGUGAGAUGUUGGGUUAANUCCCGCAACGAGCGCAACCCUUAUUGUUAGUUGCCAUCAUUAAGUUGGGCACUCUAGCGAGACUGCCGGUAAUAAACCGGAGGAAGGUGGGGAUGACGUCAAAUCAUCAUGCCCCUUAUGACCUGGGCUACACACGUGCUACAAUGGUCGGUACAACGAGUUGCGAGCCGGUGACGGCAAGCUAAUCUCUGAAAGCCGAUCUCAGUUCGGAUUGGAGGCUGCAACUCGCCUCCAUGAAGUCGGAAUCGCUAGUAAUCGCGGAUCAGCACGCCGCGGUGAAUACGUUCCCGGGCCUUGUNCACACCGCCCGUCACACCACGAGAGUUUGUAACACC
rnacentral:rRNA from 1 species